CGCCUGAGCACGUCGCCGUGCACCGAGGGAUCGAGCUUUCUGCUUUACGAACGUCUGGAGAGACAUCGGAGGUUAUCCGAAACUCUUAGUGCGAGCCUUCCGGCGUCUCCAUCCUCUGCUGCCGGUUCUGAUGUCCACUUCGCCUUCAGCCCUCAGACAUCGCAGCUGCCAGAACCGGCUGUCUGGAAAUCGCCUGCAAGCUCCAACACUACCCCCCUGGCUGACAUUGCCUUUGUCUGCUAUGAGGACC